rnacentral:rRNA from 1 species
UGCCUUCGGGAACCGUGAGACAGGUGCUGCAUGGCUGUCGUCAGCUCGUGUUGUGAAAUGUUGGGUUAAGUCCCGCAACGAGCGCAACCCUUAUCCUUUGUUGCCAGCGGUCCGGCCGGGAACUCAAAGGAGACUGCCAGUGAUAAACUGGAGGAAGGUGGGGAUGACGUCAAGUCAUCAUGGCCCUUACGACCAGGGCUACACACGUGCUACAAUGGCGCAUACAAAGAGAAGCGACCUCGCGAGAGCAAGCGGACCUCAUAAAGUGCGUCGUAGUCCGGAUUGGAGUCUGCAACUCGACUCCAUGAAGUCGGAAUCGCUAGUAAUCGUGGAUCAGAAUGCCACGGUGAAUACGUUCCCGGGUCUUGUACACACCGA